CCCAAUCUAUGGCAGGCCACCUGUGAACCGACCCACGCGCAGGCAUAGCAGCAGGAAAAGGAGGCACGCAGACGCGGAGAGAGAGAGAGAGACGCCCGCGCUGCUGCCGCCGUCUCAAUCUCAACGUCCCACGGCCAGUAGUGAGGAGCAGAUCCUAAAUCACCAUCCAUCGCUGAACCGAAAGCAAACCCCACCACAACAACACCACCGCUCGCCUGCUCUCACCGACCAGCGCCGCGCCACUCCUCCGCCGGAUCUCCAGCAUGCAGCCCUCCUCCUCGUCCUCCUCCGCUCACCCGCCCGACCAUCCCAACUCCAAGCCCCCGGCCCCGCCGGCCCCCGCCAUGGGCUACCCCGCCCCCAACGGGAACCCCAGCGCCUACUUCGCCGCCGCGCCGCCCGCCGCCGCCGCCGCCAACGGCUCCGCUCCGGCGACCUUCGGCGUCGCGUACCCCUACCCCGCCCCUCCUCACCACCAUCACCCGCCGCCGCACCACCACUACCCGUAUCCCCCGCCCCCGCCGACGCACCACCACUACGCGGCCCACCCGCCGCCGCCGCCCACCUGCCUGCGCCGCCUCCUCGCCGCCGUCGUUGGCGCCUUCCUUCUCCUCGGCGCCGCCACCUUCAUAGUCUGGCUCCUCCUCCGCCCGCGCGCCCCGGCCUUCUCCCUCACCUCCCUGGCCCUCUCCCGCGUCGCUUACUCCCCCGCCAACUCCUCACUCUCCGCCUCCUUCGACGCUGCCCUCCUCGCCGCCAACCCCAACGCCAAGCUCUCCGUCGCCUACUUCUCACCCCUCGCAUCCGUCUCCUUCGCGCCCUCCUCCCCGCUCGCCGUCGCCUCGCUCGCGCCCUUCGGCCAGGGCCCCGGCAACACCACCACGAUCGCCUUCCGCCUCGUCGUAGAGGAUGCCUACGUCGGGCCCGACGACGCCGCAGCGCUCAAGACCGGCGCCGGGGGCGCUGUCGACGUCGAGGUCAGGCUCAUGGCCGUCGCCGUCUUCGACAGAGGUGGCUGGCGCACGCGCCGGAGGGUCAUGAGGGUUAUGUGCGAUGGCGUCAAGGUGGUUUUCCGCGGGAAGAAUUCCACUGAGGCGGCCUUCGAUGGGCCGCCAAGAAGGUGCGAUGUCGUGUUGUGAAGUUAAGGAUCAUCAUAACAGGUUUGCUGACUACUCUGGAUGCUGAUCGGGGGGUACAAGAAGCUAACUGGCACAAUGGGGGUGCGUUUAUCUGCAUUUGAUUUGAUGAGCAAUACUCAAGCUGGGUAACCAUGCUUUUAUCUGGCUGUAAUAGGAGUAGCGAGUGAGAGAAGUCUGGAAUGAUCCAUAUGCUUGGUGGGUAAUGAGUGGUCUGUGUAGCUUCAACAGAAAUGUUUGUGAAAGUUACGGUAAGAAUUACUGUGCACGCGUGGUGGUUAACUGGUUUAUGUGGGCGUGUGCUAUGGAGCCUCUCAUGAGUCAUGAAACGAAUCGGUGUACAUUGAACUAGCGCUUGGAAUGAAGCCCU
rnacentral:misc_RNA from 1 species